rnacentral:sRNA from 1 species
UGGUUUACUUUAACGCGCCACAUAUCA